rnacentral:rRNA from 1 species
GAUGAAUGCUGGCGGCGUGCCUAACACAUGCAAGUCGAGCGGCAGCGCGAGUAGUUUACUACUUGGCGGCGAGCGGCGGACGGCUGAGUAACGCGUGGGAACAUGCCCCAAAGUGAGGGAUAACUGCUCGAAAGGGUAGCUAAUACCGCAUAUGGUCUUCGGAUUCAAGGAUUUAUCCGCUUUGGGCGUGGCCUGCGUACAAUUAGCUAGUUGGUGAGGUAAUGGCUCACCAAGGCGACGAUCGUUAACUGGUCUGAGAGGAUGAUCAGUCAGACUGGAACUGAGACACGGUCCAGACUCCUACGGGAGGCAGCAGUGAGGAAUCUUCCACAAUGGGCGAAAGCCUGAUGGAGCAACGCCGCGUGCAGGAUGAAGGCCUUCGGGUCGUAAACUGCUUUUAUGAGUGAAGAAUAUGACGGUAACUCAUGAAUAAGCACCGGCUAACUACGUGCCAGCAGCCGCCGUAA